UCAGGCCUAACACAUGCAAGUCGAACGGUAACGCGGGGCAACCUGGCGACGAGUGGCGAACGGGUGAGUAAUGCAUCGGAACGUGCCCAAUCGUGGGGGAUAACGUAGAGAAAUUUACGCUAAUACCGCAUGAGAUCUACGGAUGAAAGCAGGGGAUCGCAAGACCUUGCGCGAUUGGAGCGGCUGAUGUCAGAUUAGGUAGUUGGUGGGGUAAAGGCCUACCAAGCCGACGAUCUGUAGCUGGUUUGAGAGAACGACCAGCCACACUGGGACUGAGACACGGCCCAGACUCCUACGGGAGGCAGCAGUGGGGAAUUUUGGACAAUGGGCGCAAGCCUGAUCCAGCAAUGCCGCGUGCAGGAAGAAGGCCUUCGGGCUGUAAACUGCUAUUGUACGGAACGAAACGGUCCUGGUUAAUACCCGGGGCUAAUGAC
rnacentral:rRNA from 1 species